AACGAACGCUGGCGGCAUGCCUAACACAUGCAAGUCGAACGAGACCUUCGGGUCUAGUGGCGCACGGGUGCGUAACGCGUGGGAACCUGCCCUUAGGUUCGGAAUAACUCCCCGAAAGGGGUGCUAAUACCGGAUAAUGUCUUCGGACCAAAGAUUUAUCGCCUUUGGAUGGGCCCGCGUUGGUUUAGCUAGUUGGUAGGGUAAAAGCCUACCAAGGCGACGAUCCAUAGCUGGUCUGAGAGGAUGAUCAGCCACACUGGGACUGAGACACGGCCCAGACUCCUACGGGAGGCAGCAGUGGGGAAUAUUGGACAAUGGGCGAAGGCAUGAUCCAGCAAUGCCGCGUGAGUGAUGAAGGCCGUAGGGUUGUAAAGCUCUUUUACCCGGGAUGAUAAUGACAGUACCGGGAGAAUAAGCACCGGCUAACUCCGUG
rnacentral:rRNA from 1 species